CCCAACCUGGUUGUCAGGCACUCGCCUACCUCUAAGUACUUUUUGUUUUAAGAUGCUUUUGAUUCCUUUAAAAUUAAAAACUUCAUUUAAAAAUAUAUCUGCUACCCCAUAGGGCUAGCUAUUUCUAGUGGUUCAACCAUUCCAAUUCAAUGUUUAGUCACAUAUGUAAAUAAGGUGCCAGGACCUUGAAGCAAUAAUGACUUUUCGUUUUGUAAUCGUAACCAUGGUAUCUGAAAGUGAACUCAGGCAGAAAGGAUGCAGGGCCUGUGUGUUUGGGAUGAAGAGGAUACUAUUCCUGAACUGUAAUCACCAUCCAAGGUGGGGAAGGAAAGACCAAAACAGUAACAGGUUCAAAUCCAAGGCACAGACUCAGCCAGUGGACAAACAAAAGGAAUCACUGGCAACAAUGAACAGAAGCAGCUUCACCAGAGCAGCCCUGUAGCCUGCUCCCAGCAGAAGACUGUAAGGACGCCUUGAUUAAAUGGAGCUGAAUCAUU